rnacentral:rRNA from 1 species
GAACGCUGGCGGCGUGCUUAACACAUGCAAGUCGAACGAAGCAUCUCGCCCGAAGAAAUGGAGUGCUUGCACAAAGUGGAUUCAAUUGAGAUGACUGAGUGGCGGACGGGUGAGUAACGCGUGGGUAACCUGCCCUAUACAGGGGGAUAGCAGUUGGAAACGACUGAUAAUACCGCAUAAGCGCACAGUACCGCAUGGUACAGUGUGAAAAACUCCGGUGGUAUAGGAUGGACCCGCGUCUGAUUAGCUAGUUGGUGAGGUAACGGCUCACCAAGGCGACGAUCAGUAGCCGACCUGAGAGGGUGACCGGCCACAUUGGGACUGAGACACGGCCCAAACUCCUACGGGAGGCAGCAGUGGGGAAUAUUGCACAAUGGGCGAAAGCCCGAUGCAGCCGACGCCGCGUGAGUGAUGAAGUAUUUCGGUAUGUAAAGCUCUAUCAGCAGGGAAGAUAAUGACGGUACCUGACUAAGAAGCACCGGCUAAAUACGUGCCAGCCGCCGC